CAGCGCCACGAGUGGUGACCACGUUUAUUGGGCCUAAAGCGUCCGUAGCCGGUUUGGCAAAUCUUUUGUGAAAUUGUGCGGCUUAACCGUACAGCGUGCAAGAGACACUACCAAACUCGAGACCGGGGGAGUCAGAAGUAUUCCAGGGGGAGCGGUAAAAUGUUAUAAUCCCUGGAGGACUACCUGUGGCGAAGGCGUCUGACCAGAACGGAUCUGACGGUGAGGGACGAAAGCUAUGGGAGCGAACCGGAUUAGAUACCCGAGUAGUCC
rnacentral:rRNA from 1 species